UACAACAUUAUUGAGUUUAACGACUCCACCUGUACCCUACCUGUUGUUUUGCUGCUUUUACUUAUGACUGAAAUUGACUGAAUUCUCCUAAAAUGUUACCGUGAAGCUAACUGCAUUACCUCCAGCGUAUAGACUUCAAACAGCACUGGUGAGCAGUUAAGUCAGCCACACUUGAAGAACAGGUGGGCCAAGUUCGUCUGUAAAGAGGCAACAAGCUGCAUCUUUGUCGACAGAUACAUUAUCGACACCACUGUCACUUUAGGAAGAGAUGGGCCAGAUUGAUCUAUAAAGAAGCAACAGGACACAUCUUUGGUUGAAAGAUAUGUUAUCAACACUGCUGCCACUUGAAGAAGAGAUGGGCCAAAUUCAUCUAUAAAGAGGCGACAGGACGCAUCUUUGGUACAAGAUGACUUACCACCACACCUGGAGGAAAAAAACACCUGUCUACACCUGUAUGGAACUCCUAGCAGUGCUUGUCUGAUGCAUAUCUACUUCCUGUCUGACUUACAGUGAGAGACUUGCA